AGGCUAUUAGCUAAGUAGUAGAGAGUGCCCCUGAUAAGAGUGAGGUCUCUGGUUCAUGUCUAGGAUAGCCUA
rnacentral:tRNA from 1 species